CCCCUCCCAGAAUCACACCUGGAGAGUUUCCAGUCCUCUACCAGUCUUGGCUAUGGGAGGAAGAGUCAAGCAGAGGCCUGUCUAUUCCAUUCCUAGCUUGGCCAGUGGCUAGUGAGUGGAAGGCCACCUACUUCAAGU